GUGAGGAAUUUUCCGCAAUGGGCGAAAGCCUGACGGAGCAAUGCCGCGUGCAGGAAGACGGCCCUCUGGGUUGUAAACUGCUUUUAUCUGGGAAGAAAAAGGCCAUGCGUGGCAAAUUGCCGGUACCAGAUGAAUAAGCACCGGCUAACUCCGUGCCAGCAGCCGUGGUAAUACGGAGGGUGCGAGCGUUGUCCGGAUUUAUUGGGUUUAAAGGGUGCGUAGGCGGCUGAUUAAGUCAGCGGUGAAAGACUUCGGCUUAACCGGAGCAGUGCCGUUGAUACUGGUUGGCUUGAGUGUCGGAGGGGUACAUGGAAUUGAUGGUGUAGCGGUGAAAUGCAUAGAUACCAUCAGGAACACCGAUAGCGAAGGCAUUGUACUGGCCGACAACUGACGCUGAUGCACGAAAGUGUGGGGAUCGAACAGGAUUAGAUACCCCGGUAGUCC
rnacentral:rRNA from 1 species